GACGAACGCUGGCGGCGUGCUUAACACAUGCAAGUCGAACGAGACGAUUGAAAGCUUGCUUUAAAAGUCGAGUGGCAAACGGGUGAGUAACGCGUAGACAACCUGCCUUUGAGAUGGGGACAACAGUUCGAAAGGACUGCUAAUACCGAAUGUUGUAUAUUUUCCACAUGGAAGAUAUAUUAAAGAUGGCCUCUAUUUAUAAGCUAUCGCUCAAAGAUGGGUCUGCGUCUGAUUAGCUAGUUGGUGGGGUAACGGCCUACCAAGGCGACGAUCAGUAGCCGGUCGGAGAGGAUGAACGGCCACAUUGGGACUGAGACACGGCCCAGACUCCUACGGGAGGCAGCAGUGGGGAAUCUUCCACAAUGGACGAAAGUCUGAUGGAGCAACGCCGCGUGAGUGAAGAAGGGUUUCGGCUCGUAAAGCUCUGUUGUCGGGGACGAAUGUGCAGUAUUUGAAUAAAGUACUGCAAUGACGGUACCUGACGAGGAAGCCACGGCUAACUACGUGCCAGCCGCCGCAGUAA
rnacentral:rRNA from 1 species